AUUACUUAAUUUUACUUUAAUUUAUUAUACCUAGGAGGUGGAGUUUAUGAUAUUAAAUCGUGAUGUUAUAUAAUGCCAUCAAGAAGUCUUAAGCACAUAUAAGUAUUGAAAAGGUCUUAUCCAAGCAUAAUGAAACUCACUUCCUAAUAGUCAUUAUUUGUCUACAUAUGACAAGAUAGAGACAGUUAGCAGUUUCGUAUAUUUGGGAUCCUUGAUAAAAAAUAAAAAUUUGGUCAGGGAACAAAUAAAGAAAACGAUAAUUCAAGCCAACAAAUGCUUCCGUGGGCUUAAAAAACAGCGUCACAUCUAGGUUACCAAGAUAAAUCAAAUUGUGUCUUCAUCAAGUUGUAUGAGUCGUAAACAUGAACCUUAAUACGAAAAGACCAAGAGAAUACAACUUCGAGUUGUAUCGUCAAUAUCGAACCAAAGAUAGAUAAAUUUGUCAAAGUGUAAAGGUUGAGAUAGAUUGGCCAUGUAGCCAUAAUGGACAUAAAAAGUACCACAAGAAUUAUCUUUGAUCGCCCUGGACCUGAAGAUUGGUUGAGAGGUCGAAGAAAUGUUUUGUAGACGAUGUGGAGGACCUAAGAAGGCUGAACUGUUAAGGUAGGCCAAGGUCCACAACAAGUUGUAGAGCCAAGCAUGAUGGUCGAAAAUAACAAAUUGUUGGUCCUACCUUUCUAUGAUGUCCACAACUUGAUAAUUAACAUGAUAAUUGCCAUCUAAAUGAAGGAUGCCAGCUACACUAAAAUGGUAGGAUAUUUUCACUAUACUAUAACGGCAGAAAGCCAUCAUUCCAGUGUAGUAAAACCAGAAUAAUUAACCUAAAAAUUAGUCAAGAAGUUAGAAACAAGUAAAAAGCAUGAGAAAGAAAGCAAAAAUUAAUCAGAAUUAAUGCAAAUAUGUAGCUUAAAAAAAGCAAGAUGUAACCCAGAAACUAAGAUUAAUCAAAGAAGACUAGAAAUACUAAAGAAGCCACAGUGCCAGAUUACCAAAAAAAGUAUGAAGAAAGAAAACUGUUGGUGACAAAAACAAAGAAAGCAGAAAUAAAGAAAACGAGAGAAAAUGUUAUAAAUAUGACAAAGUAAAAAGCAUGCAGCGAUAAAGAACACUUGGAGACCCAGGAUUGAAUGCUAUCACCAUAAUUUACACUAAUCCUUAUUGUAUGUAAGUUUAUAGGUGAAGUAAGAAUAAAUCAGUGUAAUCUGCAUCACAGCAAGGCUACAACUGCCCUGUAAUUAUCAAUCUGUAUUGGCCAAAAAUCUUAGAAUUUUUAUAUUUAUAGCUCACGUACACAAUAGGCUAAGAUUCAUCCUCGUCUAUCUAUUACUAUCAUAUAUGGUGAUGUAACAAUUAUUAGUAUUUGUUGCACCGACAAUCAUAAGGAAUAAAUUAUAUUAUUUAUUAAA